AUUGAACGCUGGCGGCAUGCCUUACACAUGCAAGUCGAACGGCAGCGGGCCCUUCGGGGUGCCGGCGAGUGGCGAACGGGUGAGUAAUGCAUCGGAACGUACCCGGGAGAGGGGGAUAACCGGCCGAAAGGCUGGCUAAUACCGCAUGAACUCGGAAGAGCAAAGCGGGGGACCUUCGGGCCUCGCGCUCUCGGAGCGGCCGAUGUCCGAUUAGGCUAGUUGGUGGGGUAAAGGCCCACCAAGGCGACGAUCGGUAGCGGGUCUGAGAGGACGAUCCGCCACACGGGGACUGAGACACGGCCCAGACUCCUACGGGAGGCAGCAGUGGGGAAUCUUGGACAAUGGGCGCAAGCCUGAUCCAGCAAUGCCGCGUGGGUGAAGAAGGCCUUCGGGUUGUAAAGCCCUUUCGGCGGGGAAGAAAUCGGUCAGGCGAAUAGUCUGGCCGGAUGACGGUACCCGCAGAAGAAGCACCGGCUAACUACGUG
rnacentral:rRNA from 1 species